rnacentral:rRNA from 1 species
AUGAAAAUUAGUGGAUGGAAAGAAAAACUGCUAUCAGUAGGAGGAAAGGAAAUCUUACUCAAAUCGGUUGUACAAGCUAUCCCAACUUAUGCCAUGUCCGUCUUUAAAAUUCCUAAAAAAAAUUGCAAAGGAAUCAUUGACGCGAUGUCGCAUUUCUGGUGGGGUGACAAAGACAAUCAGAAGAGAAUGCAUUGGAUGACAUGGUGGAAGAUGUGUGUACCAAAAGAUCAAGGUGGAAUGGGAUUCCGAGAUGUACACUGUUUUAAUUUGGCCUUGUUAGCCAAACAAGCGUGGCGCCUGCUUGAUAACCCUGAUUCUCUAUGUGCCACUGUCUGA